AGAGUUUGAUCAUGGCUCAGGACGAACGCUGGCGGCGUGCUUAACACAUGCAAGUCGAACGGAGCACCCUUGAUUGAGGUUUCGGCCAAAUGAUAGGAAUGCUUAGUGGCGGACUGGUGAGUAACGCGUGAGGAACCUGCCUUCCAGAGGGGGACAACAGUUGGAAACGACUGCUAAUACCGCAUGACGCAUGACCGGGGCAUCCCGGACAUGCCAAAGA
rnacentral:rRNA from 1 species